rnacentral:rRNA from 1 species
GGAUCAGUGGCGAACGGGUGAGUAACACGUGAGCAACCUGCCCCCUACUUCGGGAUAAGCCUUGGAAACGGGGUCUAAUACCGGAUAUGAACGUCUGCCGCAUGGUGGGUGUUGGAAAGUUUUUCGGUGGGGGAUGGGCUCGCGGCCUAUCAGCUUGUUGGUGGGGUAAUGGCCUACCAAGGCGUCGACGGGUAGCCGGCCUGAGAGGGCGACCGGCCACACUGGGACUGAGACACGGCCCAGACUCCUACGGGAGGCAGCAGUGGGGAAUAUUGCACAAUGGGCGAAAGCCUGAUGCAGCGACGCCACGUGAGGGAUGACGGCCUUCGGGUUGUAAACCUCUUUCAGCAGGGAAGAAGCGAAAGUGACGGUACCUGCAGAAGAAGCGCCGGCUAACUACGUGCCAGCAGCCGCGGUAAUACGUAGGGCGCAAGCGUUGUCCGGAAUUAUUGGGCGUAAAGAGCUCGUAGGCGGUCUGUCGCGUCUGGUGUGAAAUCCCAUGGCUCAACUGUGGGCUUGCAUCGGGUACGGGCAGACUAGAGUACUGUAGGGGAGACUGGAAUUCCUGGUGUAGCGGUGGAAUGCGCAGAUAUCAGGAGGAACACCGAUGGCGAAGGCAGGUCUCU